rnacentral:rRNA from 1 species
AGGGAAUCUUCGGCAAUGGGCGAAAAGCCUGACCGAGCGACGCCGCGUGGGGGAAGAAGGUUUUCGGAUCGUAAACCCCUGUCCUUGGGGACGAAGGUGACGGUACCCAAGGAGGAAGCCCCGGCUAACUACGUGCCAGCAGCCGCGGUAAUACGUAGGGGGCGAGCGUUGUCCGGAAUCACUGGGCGUAAAGGGUGCGUAGGCGGCUAUUUAAGUCCUGUGUGAAAGGCUCCGGCUCAACCGGGGAGUUGCAUGGGAAACUGGGUGGCUUGAGUGCUGGAGAGGGUUGCGGAAUUCCCGGCGUAGCGGUGAAAUGCGUAGAUAUCGGGAGGAACACCAGUGGCGAAGGCGGCAACCUGGACAGUGACUGACGCUGAGGCACGACAGCUGGGGGAGCGAAC